rnacentral:miRNA from 1 species
UGAGAACUGAAGUCCAUAGAUGG